rnacentral:rRNA from 1 species
AUCAAAACCAAACGGCCCCUUCGCGGGGUCGUACAUCUGGUGAUUCUGAAUAACUUUGGGCUGAUCGCAUGGCCUUGCGCCGGCGACGUAUCUUUCUAAGGUGUGCCCUAUCAACUGUCGACUGUGGCAUAGACGCCCACAGUGGUUUUGACGGGUAACGGGGAAUCAGGGUUCGAUUCCGGAGAGGGAGCCUGAGAAACGGCUACCACUUCUAAGGAAGGCAGCAGGCACGCAAAUUACCCACUGGUCGAAGACCGAGGUAGUGACGAAAAAUAACGAUACCGGACUCAUCCGAGGCCCGGUAAUCGGAAUGAGUACACUUUAAAUCCUUUAACGAGGAACAAUUGGAGGGCAAGUCUGGUGCCAGCAGCCGCGGUAAUUCCAGCUCUAAUAGCGUAUAUUAAAAUUGUUGCAGUUAAAACGCUCGUAGUUGAAUAUCUGUCUCCUGAUUGUUUGGUCCGCUUUGCGUGCACCAAACGUCAGAGGCAUCCGUUUGUAAUUUUCUAAAUUGCAAACCGUUCACUUUGAGGAAAUUAGAGUGUUUAAAGCAAGCUUUGCCUUGAAUACUUCAGCAUG